rnacentral:rRNA from 1 species
UACAGAGGGUGCGAGCGUUGUCCGGAAUUACUGGGCGUAAAGGGCUCGCAGGCGGCCAACUAAGUCAGACGUGAAAUCCCUCGGCUUAACCGGGGAACUGCGUCUGAUACUGGAUGGCUCGAGUUUGGGAGAGGGAUGCGGAAUUCCAGGUGUAGCGGUGAAAUGCGUAGAUAUCUGGAGGAACACCGGUGGCGAAGGCGGCAUCCUGGACCAACACUGACGCUGAUGAGCGAAAGCCAGGGGAGCAAACGGG